AUAUCAGUCAUGCAUAGCAUAUCAAUAAGCGGAGGAAAAGAAACUAACAAGGAUUCCCUUAGUAACGGCGAGUGAAGCGGGAAGAGCUCAAAUUUGAAAUCUUCAAGGUUUUACCUUGACGAAUUGUAGUUUAAAGAAGUGUUUUCUGUUGAAGUUUUGGUAAAAGUUCUUUGGAAUAGGACAUCAUAGAGGGUGAGAAUCCCGUAUUUGACCAUUACUUUCAGCUUUGUGAUACACUUUCAAAGAGUCGGAUUGUUUGGGAAUGCAGUCCAAAAUGGGUGGUAAAUUUCAUCUAAAGCUAAAUAUUGGCGAGAGACCGAUAGCGAACAAGUACCGUGAGGGAAAGAUGAAAAGAACUUUGAAAAGAGAGUUAAACAGUACGUGAAAUUGUCAAAAGGGAAGCGUUUGACACCAGUGUUGUUUUCUCGAAAAUCAAUUAAAAAGAGUUGGAUUUUGUGUUGUAUUGACUUUAUCAGCUUUCUUCACUCUUUUCCAGCUUUUUUUAAUGCACUUUUCGUUUAACAAGUCAACAUCAGUUUCUUUUGUUGUAAAAAGGUCAUUGGAAGGUGGCUUUCUCUUCGGAGAAAGUGUUUAUAGCCUUUGACUCAUGCAAUCGGAGAGACUGAGGUCUGCAGCGUAGGAUCCUUCGGGGUUAGAUACAUUUGUGCUAAGUUAUAGCUUUUCAUAGACAACUUGUUGACUAUGUUUAGUCUUGUAGCUUACUCGCUUAUGCUAUUUUACCUACGCUUAGGAUGUUGAACUCUAUCACACACAG
rnacentral:rRNA from 1 species